rnacentral:rRNA from 1 species
AACGGCGAGUGAAGCGGCAACAGCUCAAAUUUGAAAUCUGGCUCUUUUAGAGUCCGAGUUGUAAUUUGCAGAGGGCGCUUUGGCUUUGGCAGCGGUCCAAGUUCCUUGGAACAGGACGUCACAGAGGGUGAGAAUCCCGUACGUGGUCGCUGGCUAUUGCCGUGUAAAGCCCCUUCGACGAGUCGAGUUGUUUGGGAAUGCAGCUCUAAAUGGGAGGUACAUUUCUUCUAAAGCUAAAUAUUGGCCAGAGACCGAUAGCGCACAAGUAGAGUGAUCGAAAGAUGAAAAGCACUUUGGAAAGAGAGUCAAACAGCACGUGAAAUUGUUGAAAGGGAAGCGCUUGCAGCCAGACUUGCUUACAGUUGCUCAUCCGGGUUUUUACCCGGUGCACUCUUCUGUAGGCAGGCCAGCAUCAGUUUGGGCGGUAGGAUAAAGGUCUCUGUCACGUACCUCCUUUCGGGGAGGCCUUAUAGGGGAGACGACAUACUACCAGCCUGGACUGAGGUCCGCGCAUCUGCUAGGAUGCUGGCGUAAUGGCUGUAAGCGGCCCGUCUUGAAACACGGACCAAGGAGUCUAACAUCUAUGCGAGUGUUUGGGUGUCAAGCCCGAGCGCGUAAUGAAAGUGAACGGAGGUGGGAACCCGCAAGGGUGCACCAUCGACCGAUCCUGAUGUCUUCGGAAGGAUUUGAGUAAGAGCAUGGCUGUUGGGACCCGAAAGAUGGUGAACUAUGCUUGAAUAGGGUGAAGCCAGAGGAAACUCUGGUGGAGGCUCGCAGCGGUUCUGA